rnacentral:rRNA from 1 species
AAUCAACGCUGGCGGCGUGCCUCAGACAUGCAAGUCGAACGAUUAAAGCUCCCUUCGGGGAGUGCAUAAAGUGGCGCACGGGUGAGUAACACGUAAGUAAUCUACCUUCAAGUGGGGAAUAACGUUCGGAAACGAACGCUAAUACCGCAUAAUGCAGCGGCAUCGCAAGAUGACAGUUGUUAAAGGAGCAAUCCGCUUGAAGAGGAGCUUGCGGCAGAUUAGGUAGUUGGUAAGGUAAUGGCUUACCAAGCCUGCGAUCUGUAUCCGGUCUAAGAGGACGGUCGGACACACUGACACUGAAUAACGGGUCAGACUCCUACGGGAGGCAGCAGUCGGGAAUUUUGGGCAAUGGGCGAAAGCCUGACCCAGCAACGCCGCGUGAAGGAUGAAGUAUUUCGGUAUGUAAACUUCGAAAGAAUGGGAAGAAUCAAUGACGGUACCAUUUAUAAGCUCCGGCUAACUACGUGCCAGCCGCCGCCGUAAAAC